rnacentral:rRNA from 1 species
CCUACGGGAGGCAGCAGUGGGGGAUAUUGCACAAUGGGGGCAACCCUGAUGCAGCGACGCCGCGUGUGGGAAGACGGUCCUCUGGAUUGUAAACCACUUUCCCCAGGGACGAAGAUGACGGUACCUGGCGAGGAAGCACCGGCAAACUACGUGCAAGCAGCCGCGGGAAUACGCAGGGAGCGAGGGUUGUCCGGAAUUACUGGGUGUAAGGGGAGCGUAGGCGGGGAUGCAAGUUGGGGGUAAAAACUACCGGCUCAACUGGUAGGCGCACUCGAAACUGGCGCUCUUGAGUGAGGUAGAGGCAGGCGGAAUGCGUGGUGUAGCGGUGAAAUGCGUAGAUAUUAGGCAGAACACCAGUUGCGAAGGCGGCCUGCUGGGCUUUUACUGACGCUGAGGCACGAAAGUGUGGGGAGCAAACAGGAUUAGAUACCCGGGUAGUC